UGGUACCAUAAUAUCUAAUUUUUUCCGUUGAAUGCUUUUAAUUUACAGAACGAAGAUAGUCCGACAUCGAGCAAAGGAUCGAGUCCAGACAUGGAAGAAUACGAAGUUAUAAAUAAAGAUGAAGAUACUGCUCACAAACUCAGAACACAGUGAGAAACUUCUGGUGGAGAACCUGUCGUUGAUAAAGUAAAGGCAGCUGAGUCAAGAAAAGUAUCGAGUCAAGCAGCCCAGCUUCACACAGAUGAAGAAGAUGCAUCAAAGAAAGACACAGAGCCUCAGAAAGAGGAAAAAGUGAAAGGAAAAGAAAGAAGCG